rnacentral:rRNA from 1 species
CUGGUUGAUCCUGCCAGUAGUCGUAUGCUUGUCUCAAAGACUAAGCCAUGCAUGUCUAAGUAUAAGUGUUAUACAGCGAAACUGCGAAUGGCUCAUUAAAACAGUUAUAGUUUAUUUGAUAAUCGAAUUUACAUGGAUAACCGUGGUAAUUCUAGAGCUAAUACAUGCUGGUAUGCCCGACUUUUGCGGAAGGGCGGUAUUUAUUAGAUAACAAGCCAAUAUUCCUCUGGUCUAUUGUGGUGACUCAUAAUAACUGAUCGAAUCGCAAGGCCUUUGGCCGCGAUAAAUCAUUCAAGUUUCUGCCCCAUCAGCUUUCGAUGGUAGUGUAUUGGACUACCAUGGCGUUUACGGGUAACGGAGGAUUAGGGUUCGAUUCCGGAGAGGGAGCCUGAGAAACGGCUACCACAUCUAAGGAAGGCAGCAGGCGCGUAAAUUACCCAAUCCUGACUCAGGGAGGUAGUGACAAGAAAUAACGGACCGGUUCCUUCGGAUUCGGGAUUGCAAUGAGCCGAAUUUACACCCCUUAGCGAGGAUCGAUUGGAGGGCAAGUCUGG